CUUUCCAUUCUCUCCUGCAGCUGGUGGGGUGCAGUCAGGCCGGUACCUGCUGCCAGGGGACCCCUUUCCUCCUGCGCCCUGUGGGGUCCCUGCAAGGGGAGGACCAGAAAGGCAAGGGCGGCCGCAGCGGCGAAGGGGAGCACAAGUGGAGAAGGGCCCUGGAGGAACCGUGCAUUUUGGAGCAGGGAAUACGGGACAGAGAACUUAAAGGAAAACUUCUGCAGACUUCAGCUAUAAAUCAAAAUAGAGCUGAGAGCUGACCACAAGAUUCCUGAGCUUUGUAACAACCUGAGGGGUGGUCCAGAGAGGCAGGGUGGUGGUGACUGCAUGCCCCCAGGAAGAGGCAUACAGGGCUAUACAGCGAGCAGUGGUCAUCAUCCCCACGUCUUCUGCAUCAAAAGUAACAAGGGAAAAUCUACAGCCAGCCUGAAACGUUACUCCCCAGAAGUUUCAGGUUCCAGGUUCCAGGACUGGAAAAAAAGCAGGCUGGGAAAAUAAUAAGGAAUGGCCAGGAAGAAAAAUCACUUUGCAACAACCAGACGCACGGAGCCUGAGAUGGCAGAAAUUUACAGCACCUUCUCCUUGGGCCUGGGACGCGAUAACUCCAUGCAGUGCAAGCUUCCUGCCCUUCAGGAGUCUGUUUCACAUCCCCAGGCAGAUGCACGGCAUCAUCAGCCUAAGAACCUGGCAGUCAACAUGGAAAACAGGGUAUGGGGCUAGAGUCAGAGACCCAGGACAUCUUCAUCCCCAGGAUUUGUGGCAAAAUCUUCUUAUGAAGAGUGUGGAGGAGGAAAAUGAAGCCAUGCAGUGUGUGUCUUUGAGGAUUCCUGUUAGAGAAGGAGAAAGUGUGAAGAUGCCGAUUUGA
rnacentral:lncRNA from 1 species